rnacentral:rRNA from 1 species
GUUUGAUCCUGGCUCAGGAUGAACGCUGGCGGCGUGCUUAACACAUGCAAGUCGAACGAACCUUCGGGUUAGUGGCGGACGGGUGAGUAACGCGUGGGAAUCUGCCCUCAGGAGGGGGAUAACGGCUGGAAACGGCCGCUAAUACCCCAUAUGCCGAGAGGUGAAAAGAAAUUCGCCUGAGGAUGAGCCCGCGUCUGAUUAGCUAGUUGGUGGGGUAAGAGCUCACCAAGGCGACGAUCAGUAGCUGGUAUGAGAGGAUGAUCAGCCACACUGGGACUGAGACACGGCCCAGACUCCUACGGGAGGCAGCAGUGGGGAAUUUUCCGCAAUGGGCGAAAGCCUGACGGAGCAACGCCGCGUGAGGGAUGAAGGCCUCUGGGCUGUAAACCUCUUUUCUCAAGGAAGAAGACAUGACGGUACUUGAGGAAUAAGCCACGGCUAAUUCCGUGCCAGCAGCCGCGGUAAUACGGGAGUGGCAAGCGUUAUCCGGAAUUAUUGGGCGUAAAGCGUCCGCAGGCGGCCCUGUAAGUCUGUCGUUAAAGCGUGGAGCUUAACUCCAUUUAAGCGAUGGAAACUACAGGGCUUGAGUGUGGUAGGGGCAGAGGGAAUUCCCGGUGUAGCGGUGAAAUGCGUAGAUAUCGGGAAGAACACCAGUGGCGAAGGCGCUCUGCUGGGCCAUAACUGACGCUCAUGGACGAAAGCCAGGGGAGCGAAAGGGAUUAGAUACCCCUGUAGUCCUGGCCGUAAACGAUGAACACUAGGUGUCGGGGGAAUCGACCCCCUCGGUGUCGUAGCCAACGCGUUAAGUGUUCCGCCUGGGGAGUACGCACGCAAGUGUGAAACUCAAAGGAAUUGACGGGGGCCCGCACAAGCGGUGGAGUAUGUGGUUUAAUUCGAUGCAACGCGAAGAACCUUACCAGGGUUUGACAUCCUGCGAAUCCCUUGGAAACGAGGGAGUGCCUUCGGGAGCGCAGAGACAGGUGGUGCAUGGCUGUCGUCAGCUCUCUCGUGAGAUGUUGGGUUAAGUCCCGCAACGAGCGCAACCCACGUCUUUAGUUGCCAGCAUUCAGUUGGGCACUCUAGAGAGACCGCCGGUGAUAAACCGGAGGAAGGUGUGGAUGACGUCAAGUCAUCAUGCUCCUUACAUCCUGGGCUACACACGUACUACAAUGCUACGGACAAAGGGCAGCAAGCUCGCGAGAGUUAGCAAAUCCCAUAAACCGUGGCUCAGUUCAGAUCGUAGGCUGCAACUCGCCUACGUGAAGGAGGAAUCGCUAGUAAUCGCAGGUCAGCAUACUGCGGUGAAUACGUUCCCGGGCCUUAUACACACCGCCCGUCACACCAUGGAAGUUGGCCAUGCCCGAAGUCGUUACUCCAACCCUUGUGGAGGAGGACGCCGAAGGUGGGGCUGAUGACUGGGGUGAAGUCGUAACAAGGUA